rnacentral:rRNA from 1 species
AAACCAACAGGGAUUACCUCAGUAACGGCGAGUGAAGCGGUAAAAGCUCAAAUUUGAAAUCUUCGGAAUUGUAAUUUGAUGGAUAAAAUUGCCACGGACAAAAGUUCACUGGAAAGUGACGCCGUAGAGGGUGAUAGCCCCGUUUACGUCCACCGGCACUAUAAUUUUAUUCCAAAGAGUCGGGUUGUUUGGGAAUGCAGCUCAAAGUGGGUGGUAAAUUCCAUCUAAAGCUAAAUAUUGACGAGAGACCGAUAGCGAACAAGUACAGUGAUGGAAAGAUGAAAAGAACUUUGAAAAGAGAGUGAAACAGUACGUGAAAUUGUUGAAAGGGAAGGGGAGGGAAGAUGUUAAAGGGACUCCUUCUUUUGUAGGGAUCCCCGCCAAAAAGUCUUUCCUCUCGC